rnacentral:lncRNA from 1 species
UUGGGGUCCUCGCUCUCCUUUUGGGGUCCCUUUUUUGGGGUCUCCCCCCAAAUUUCAGGGUCAUUUUUGGGGUCCUUUUUUGGACUCUCCCCCCCAAAUUUUUGGGCCAAUUUUGGGCUCCCAUUUUGGGGCAUCCCCCCAAAUUUCGGGCCGGAUUUUGGGGUCCCCGCUCACCUUUUGGGGCAUCUUGCCCAGCACCCACUCCAGCUCGAGGUUGACGGGGGUGGGGAGCCCCUCGUGGGACCCCCCCUCGGGCACCGGCGACUCCCGGUCAUCGACCAGCACGAUCUGGGGGGGGCACCCCAAAAAUCAACCCCAAAACAGCCCAAAAACACCCCAAAAUCACCUCAAAAACACCCCCAGAAAUCCUAAAAAAUCCAUCCCAAAAUUACCUCAAAAACUUCAAAAUCACCCCAAAAAUCAACCCCAAAACAGCCCAUAAAAGUCCCAGAAACUCCCAGAAAUCCCCAAAAACACCCAAAAAUCAUCUCAAUAAUCAAUCCCAAAACAACACAAAAACACCCCAAAACCACCCCAAAACACCCUCAGAAAUCCCCAAAAAUCCAUCCCAAAAUUACCUCGAAAACUCCAAAAUCACCCCAAAAAUCAGCCCUAAAACAACUCAAAACAACCCCCCAAAACAACCCCAAACCCCCUAAAAAAGCCCCAGGAGUUCCCAGAAAUCCCCAAAAACACCCCCAAAAUCACCCCAAAACAGCCCAAAAACACCCCAAAAAUUACCCCAAAAAUCACCCCAAAACCAGCCCCAGGAACACCCAGAAAUCCCCCAAAACACCCAAAAAUCACCCCAAUAAUCAAUCCCAAAACAGCCCAAAAAUACCCCAAAACUCAGCACCAAAACACCCCAAAAAUCAGCCCCAAAAACACCCCCAGGAGCACCAGAAACCCCCAAAAAUCAGCCCAAAAAUCAGCCCAAAAAUCGGCCCCAAAACACCCCAAAAAUCAACCUCCAAACAGCCCCAGGAGCACCCAGAAAUCCCCAAAAACACCCAAAAAUCAACCCCAAACACCCCUGGGGGAGUGCCAGAAACCCCCAAAAAUCACCCCAAAACCAGCCCCAGGAGCACCCAGAAAUCCCCAAUAACACCCCAAAAAUUGGCACCAAAACAGCCCAAAAACACCCCAAAAAUUACGCCAAAAAUCAACCCCAAAACACCCCAAAAAUCACCCCAAAAAUCAGCCCCAAAACCACCCCAAAAGCAGCCCCAGAAAUGCCCAAAAAUCAACCCCAAAAUGACCUCAAAAACCCCAAAAAUCCACAGCAAAACCCCAAAAAUUACCCCAAAACCGACCCCAAAACCCCAGAAUGACCCCGAGAAGAUCAAAGGUCCCCAAAUGUCCCCAAAUG